rnacentral:rRNA from 1 species
AGCGUAGGCGGUCUGAUAAGUCUGAUGUGAAAGCCCGGGGCUCAACCCCGGGACUGCAUUGGAAACUGUUGGACUAGAGUGUCGGAGAGGUAAGUGGAAUUCCUAGUGUAGCGGUGAAAUGCGUAGAUAUUAGGAAGAACACCAGUGGCGAAGGCGGCUUACUGGACGAUUACUGACGCUGAGACUCGAAAGCGUGGGGAGCAAACA